UGAGGUUCACAGUGGGCACUUGCCCCUCCCCGAUGUGUGUAGUGGGGCUAUAAUGGAGAGGCUCUCCCAGGUACCUCAGAGAAAGCAUUCCUUGUUUGGGGUGGGGAGCUGAUUUUAAGCAGGUGCAUCCUUCCUAUUAAGCCAGGCUCACCUAUCACACAGCACAGACUUCACCCACUCAUCUUCUGAGAGGAGUCCAUCCACCUGUGAUUCAUCCCAGCCAGCGCAACCCAUAGCACCAUUAGCCAGAUUGAAGCUUAUGGGGAGAGGGGGUCUCUCAAAACACAAGGGCAGAUGGCCUCCAUGAUAUUCCAGUGACAGGGAAUGAACUGCUCUGUGUAUGGCUCUCAUACAGUAUAAGAAGUUCCCUCUCUUCCUUCUUCCCUGAACUCCCCACCAGCAGGCCUGUGUUUCUGCAGAAGGGGUGUUCCUUCUCUUUCCCAUCCUUGAGGGACAAAUGCCUCCUUUUAAUUUCUACCCUCACCAACCCAGCACCAUUUUCUCUCAUUGUUAUGAUCCAAUUCCUGGUUAAAAACAUUAACCCUCACCUUGUUAUAUUGUAUUUCAAUACUGUGCCCCAUAACAGCCAAUGUUCACCCUCAGGGAGGCCCAGGUCUGAUCUUGAACCCAAGAAAAGGUUUGCUUCCUAUGGGCCUAUUAAAGAAAUCAGUCAAAAAGGGGGUGGGGAAAAACAAUCACGCUUAUAAUAAUUUUCCAGGGAACAGAAGCACAUAAUCACAGUCUCAGUCACACACAGUGUCACAGUUUGAAGAGACCUCAGAACAAAGAACACAGAACGUCAACAAUCAAAGGGUUAUUAGGGCACAGAUUAUUCAGCGCUGGAAGAGAGCUUAGAAAUCAUCUGGUCUAUCUCCUUCAUUUGAUAGAUUAAAAAACUUGAGGCCUUGGGAGGAGAGGUGACCAGUCUACCCAGAGCCUGAGCAGUGUCAGAGUCAGGGCCAGAAGAACCCUGCUCUCCCUAUUUCCAGUCCAAUGGAUUUUCCCCAGCACCAUGGAAACCUCACCUCACUCUCUGGCCAAGACUUCAUCCUGCCCAGCCCAUCUAGAGUAAUUUCCCAUCUCUCCUAGAUUCCUCCAAGAGUCCUCCGGCUAACUUCUGGUUUCCUGGGAGAGAGAAUACUAAUAAGAUUCCACCUGUGGCUACCUUCUCUUUUCCAUUCUCACUCCUGGGGACACAAGCUCUCAACUAACUUCUAGCUACCAGCCAGGCCUGCAGUGCAGUAGAGCCACUCCAUUCAAUUCAGGUGAAGAUUUGCUCCAGGAAGAAAGAAGAGGGUGGACAAUAAAAGGUAAGGGCACUUCAGCCUUUGGGGAGCCAACACAGGCACACAGGCAAGAUCUCUUCCAUCAAAGCCACCUUAAAAACUAACUCUACAAAUGACACUCUGGAGACAUCAAAAUACAGAUCAGGUUUCUGCUAACCCAGAGGUCACAUCCAAACCUGAGGGCCAAAUGAAGCUUACAAAGAGACUGGCUGCCAAAAAGACCGCCCCAUGUCGCCCCACACUCUGCUAUCACAUUCUCGGCUGCUUGUUUCCUCCUGCCAACCAGGAAGCUGUUCCUCUCUCAGAAACUUUUAAGAACCCAAGAACCAUAAAAGCGUUCCUCCCACCCUGGACACACUGAUGGACACAGCACAGUAUGCCAGGCCAAGAAUAAAGCAAAGCCUGGGGGGAGGGUGGGCGGCAGACCUGGUCUCUGCAAAGCCCUUCUCCACCAUUCAGUUGCCAUCUUGAAAAAGUCUGCUUAUCCCAAAGCCUCCCUGGUCAGUCAUUCUCUCUGAAAGCCACAGGCGAUGCCAGGAUCCUUAAACCCACAAGUCCAAUGAAUGGCUUUGCUGGAGGUGAGCAUAGAGCUGUAAUUACCCUAAAACUGAUGCAUGUGCCCAGAAAUUACCACCUCUAAUAGCACCUCUAAUUAGUCACCAUCCAGAAGAAAGGAUGGAUGCUGCCAGCCUGCAGCUCUCCCAUCUUCCGCUGUGAAAAACAGUCUCAUUUUACAACCAUCUGAAGGGGAGCCCAAAACCAUUUCUGGCUUCAAACAAGGGGAAUAAGAUAUCUCAAGACUUCAGCACUAUUUACACUUGAACAGCUGCUAUUUUAAAAAAAUUAAUAAGGAAAAAAAUCCAGUUUAUUCCUGCUUUAAAAAAUCUCAGGGGGACAGAUCAGAAGACAGGCAACCCAGCCCAGCCUUGUGGGUUGAGAAUCCCCAAGUUAGCCUUCCACCCUCUCCUCCUAACCAAAGGCCCCACUGUCCUUCCCUCUCCUGUUUUCAAAAAAGGAGGCUAGACAAGGGCAAUACCAAUUGGGGGUAUAAAGGAGAAUGGGGUUCAAAGGAGAAUGAUGUCAUUGUAAAGAAAACAGCAGUCCCUGCCAGGGAAAGCUUCAAGCUGAAACAGGGACAAUCUUCCACCUGCUACUUAAAGCUUGAGGUGGGCCCAUCCCAAGGGGAAGGCCAACGUGAAUGCGGAGAAAGGCAUACACAGCUUGGGACCAGCCCACACAGAGCUUCCACCCACCUCUCAGGAACACACCGCCAGGCACAGGAAGCAGCUUCUAACUGUGCGGAGAGCGGUGCUGUGCUGUGCCCUGCCCUGCCCUGCCCUCCCCUCCCCGUAAACAGCUGGCCUCAGCCUUCCCCAGAGCACACACACAGUACUGGGUACAUCCAUUUCCUCCCCUCUCGACGUCAGAACAUUUCAUCAGUGAUAAGCACCAGAAACACCACACAAACGGUCCGGGAGAUCCAAAGAGGAGAAUCCUCCUCCCUUUCUUCCCCCAUCUCGAUUUUGCCCCACACGGGUCCUCAGAUCCUGAUGCCCAGGGCCUAGGCCUCCCUGGGCUGGGGCUAUUUCCUUUCUACAUU